AACGAACGCUGGCGGCAUGCCUAACACAUGCAAGUCGAACGAGACCUUCGGGUCUAGCGGCGCACGGGUGCGUAACGCGUGGGAACCUGCCCUUAGGUUCGGAAUAACUCCCCGCAAGGGGUGCUAAUACCGGAUAAUGUCUUCGGACCAAAGAUUUAUCGCCUUUGGAUGGGCCCGCGUUGGAUUAGCUAGUUGGUAGGGUAAACGCCUACCAAGGCGACGAUCCAUAGCUGGUCUGAGAGGAUGAUCAGCCACACUGGGACUGAGACACGGCCCAGACUCCUACGGGAGGCAGCAGUGGGGAAUAUUGGACAAUGGGCGAAAGCCUGAUCCAGCAAUGCCGCGUGGGUGAUGAAGGCCUUAGGGUUGUAAAGCUCUUUUACCCGGGAUGAUAAUGACAGUACCGGGAGAAUAAGCUCCGGCUAACUCCGUG
rnacentral:rRNA from 1 species